rnacentral:rRNA from 1 species
UACGGAGGGUGCAAGCAUUAAUCGGAUUUAUUGGGCGUAAAGGGCGCGUAGGCUGGGAUAUAAGUCAGAUGUGAAAUCCCGAGGCUCAACCUCGGAACAGCAUUUGAAACUGUAUCUCUAGAGGAUAGGAGGAGAAAACGGAAUUCCACAAGUAGCGGUGAAAUGCGUAGAUAUGUGGAAGAACACCGGUGGCGAAGGCGGUUUUCUAUCUUAUUCCUGACGCUGAUGCGCGAAAGCAAGGGGAUCAAACAGG